rnacentral:rRNA from 1 species
AGUGAACGCUGGCGGUAGGCCUAACACAUGCAAGUCGAACGGCAGCACAGUAAGAGCUUGCUCUUACGGGUGGCGAGUGGCGGACGGGUGAGGAAUACAUCGGAAUCUACUUUUUCGUGGGGGAUAACGUAGGGAAACUUACGCUAAUACCGCAUACGACCUACGGGUGAAAGCAGGGGAUCUUCGGACCUUGCGCGAUUGAAUGAGCCGAUGUCGGAUUAGCUAGUUGGCGGGGUAAAGGCCCACCAAGGCGACGAUCCGUAGCUGGUCUGAGAGGAUGAUAAGCCACACUGGAACUGAGACACGGUCCAGACUCCUACGGGAGGCAGCAGUGGGGAAUAUUGGACAAUGGGCGCAAGCCUGAUCCAGCCAUACCGCGUGGGUGAAGAAGGCCUUCGGGCUGUAAAGCCCUUUUGUUGGGAAAGAAAAGCAGCAGGUUAAUACCCCGCUGUUCUGACGGUACCCAAAGAAUAAGCACCGGCUAACUUCGUG